UGAGGAAUUUUGGACAAUGGGGGCAACCCUGAUCCAGCAACGCCGCGUGGAGGACGAAGGUCUUCGGAUUGUAAACUCCUUUUAUCUGGGACUAAGAAAUUCAUAGAAAUAUGGAGAAUGAAUGUACCAGAUGAAUAAGCCACGGCUAACUUCGUGCCAGCAGCCGCGGUAAUACGAAGGUGGCGAGCGUUACUCGGAAUUACUAGGCGUAAAGGGCAGGUAGGUGGUUUGGUAAGUCUGUUGUGUCAACUUCCGGCUUAACCGGAAGAGGUCAACAGAGACUGUCAGGCUUGAGUAUGGGAGAGGGUACGGGAAUUCCCGGUGUAGCGGUGAAAUGCGCAGAUAUCGGGAGGAACACCGAUGGCGAAAGCAGGUACCUGGACCAUUACUGACACUCAGCUGCGAAAGCUAGGGGAGCAAACA
rnacentral:rRNA from 1 species